rnacentral:rRNA from 1 species
GAUGAACGCUGGCGGCGUGCCUAAUACAUGCAAGUCGAGCGAACGGACGAGAAGCUUGCUUCUCUGAUGUUAGCGGCGGACGGGUGAGUAACACGUGGAUAACCUACCUAUAAGACUGGGAUAACUUCGGGAAACCGGAGCUAAUACCGGAUAAUAUUUUGAACCGCAUGGUUCAAAAGUGAAAGACGGUCUUGCUGUCACUUAUAGAUGGAUCCGCGCUGCAUUAGCUAGUUGGUAAGGUAACGGCUUACCAAGGCAACGAUGCAUAGCCGACCUGAGAGGGUGAUCGGCCACACUGGAACUGAGACACGGUCCAGACUCCUACGGGAGGCAGCAGUAGGGAAUCUUCCGCAAUGGGCGAAAGCCUGACGGAGCAACGCCGCGUGAGUGAUGAAGGUCUUCGGAUCGUAAAACUCUGUUAUUAGGGAAGAACAUAUGUGUAAGUAACUGUGCACAUCUUGACGGUACCUAAUCAGAAAGCCACGGCUAACUACGUGCCAGCAGCCGCGGUAAUACGUAGGUGGCAAGCGUUAUCCGGAAUUAUUGGGCGUAAAGCGCGCGUAGGCGGUUUUUUAAGUCUGAUGUGAAAGCCCACGGCUCAACCGUGGAGGGUCAUUGGAAACUGGAAAACUUGAGUGCAGAAGAGGAAAGUGGAAUUCCAUGUGUAGCGGUGAAAUGCGCAGAGAUAUGGAGGAACACCAGUGGCGAAGGCGACUUUCUGGUCUGUAACUGACGCUGAUGUGCGAAAGCGUGGGGAUCAAACAGGAUUAGAUACCCUGGUAGUCCACGCCGUAAACGAUGAGUGCUAAGUGUUAGGGGGUUUCCGCCCCUUAGUGCUGCAGCUAACGCAUUAAGCACUCCGCCUGGGGAGUACGACCGCAAGGUUGAAACUCAAAGGAAUUGACGGGGACCCGCACAAGCGGUGGAGCAUGUGGUUUAAUUCGAAGCAACGCGAAGAACCUUACCAAAUCUUGACAUCCUUUGACAACUCUAGAGAUAGAGCUUUCCCCUUCGGGGGACAAAGUGACAGGUGGUGCAUGGUUGUCGUCAGCUCGUGUCGUGAGAUGUUGGGUUAAGCCCCGCAACGAGCGCAACCCUUAAGCUUAGUUGCCAUCAUUAAGUUGGGCACUCUAAGUUGACUGCCGGUGACAAACCGGAUGAAGGUGGGGAUGACGUCAAAUCAUCAUGCCCCUUAUGAUUUGGGCUACACACGUGCUACAAUGGACAAUACAAAGGGCAGCGAAACCGCGAGGUCAAGCAAAUCCCAUAAAGUUGUUCUCAGUUUCGGAUUGUAGUCUGCAACUCGACUACAUGAAGCUGGAAUCGCUUGUAAUCGUAGAUCAGCAUGCCUACGGUGAAUACGUUCCCGGGUCU